rnacentral:lncRNA from 1 species
GACCUUUUUUUUCUACAUUGGAUAUCCCAAGAUGGUUAAGGGUUAUAAUGAUGCAAAAUAAACUAUUAAUCUAUUAGAUCUAAAUCAUCUAUUGGGUCAUUUAUUUUUUUUUCCACCAUGCUAUUAUAACUUAGAAAUCUUCUAAGCAAAUAAUUAUAUCUUGAAGCAAUAUGGAGGUAAAGUUAAUAGCUCUAAAUAUCACCUGCAUAG